rnacentral:misc_RNA from 1 species
GAUGAAGAACGCAGCGAAAUGCGAUACGUAAUGUGAAUUGCAGAAUUCAGUGAAUCAUCGAAUCUUUGAACGCACAUUGCGCCUUCUGGUAUUCCGGGAGGCAUGCUUGUUUGAGUAUCAGUAAACACCUCAACUUGACCUCAAGUUGGACUUGAGCAGUUUCCAAACUUCUCCCUCAAAAGGGGUUUUGUGCGGAAUGCUUAAAAUUCAGGUGCAGCUGGGGAUCCCCAUUUCAUUGUCCUAGGCUACAAGCAUUUCUGCUUAAUCCCGUCAAACGGAUUAUACCUUUUUGCUGCAGCCAAACGAUAAUUGGGCCCGAAACGCUGACUGAUGCAGGAUUUCUGACAGAUUUUUUUUUUUCUGUCUGUUCCACUAGAUCUCAAAUCAAGUAAGACUACCCGCUGAACUUAAGCAUAUCAAUAAGCGGAGGA